rnacentral:rRNA from 1 species
UUUUGUGGGGUGCUCGAGUGGCGAACGGGUGAGUAACACGUGAGUAACCUGCCCUUGACUUUGGGAUAACUUCAGGAAACUGGGGCUAAUACCGGAUAGGAGCUCCUGCUGAAUGGUGGGGGUUGGAAAGUUUCGGCGGUUGGGGAUGGACUCGCGGCUUAUCAGCUUGUUGGUGGGGUAGUGGCUUACCAAGGCUUUGACGGGUAGCCGGCCUGAGAGGGUGACCGGCCACAUUGGGACUGAGAUACGGCCCAG